rnacentral:tmRNA from 1 species
GGGGGUGCACCGGAUUCGAUUGCCGGUGAGCGAAAAGAUAAGCAUACCGCAGACGGAGUGGCUGCGUUAAAAACAUUCCGCUUAAAUUUAAAUGCAAAUAGUAAUGCAAAAUACGCUCUUGCAGCGUAACUUCGUUUUAUAACGAAUCGUCGCGCCCGAUUUAUCCGUCGGUCGGGGUCGCGGCGUCAUUUAGACGGAACACUCUUGAAAAGAUCGGAAGGUGUCUUGAAAGAGUAUUCAGCCUUCUGCGCAGCGUGACGCGUGUUUACCCGCCCCGCGCUGUUAAGAAAUAAUAGAUAAACUAAGUAUGUAGAAAGUUUUUUGGCAGCCGCGUAAGACGUCGGUUCAACUCCGACCACCUCCACCA